rnacentral:lncRNA from 1 species
AAACUGAUAGCUCUAUUAUCCAAUCAUGUUAACCACAAUUGGAUAAUAGAUUCUUGAGCUUCAAACCAUAUAACAUCCACAUUAGAGAUGGUAAGUUCCUGUCAGUAGUUUCACCUCAAAAGGAAGUAAGGUUCACUUGCCUGCCUCUAUUUUACAUGUAAGAAAAGCAAGUGUGUUUAACUAUCGGGAUUUCAGUAGUGUGCUGUACAUACCAGAGUGUAAAUACAAUCUAUUGUCUGUGUCUAAAUUGACC